rnacentral:rRNA from 1 species
UACGGAGGGUGCAAGCGUUAUCCGGAUUCACUGGGUUUAAAGGGUGCGUAGGCGGGCAGGUAAGUCAGUGGUGAAAUCCUGGAGCUUAACUCCAGAACUGCCAUUGAUACUAUCUGUCUUGAAUAUUGUGGAGGUAAGCGGAAUAUGUCAUGUAGCGGUGAAAUGCUUAGAUAUGACAUAGAACACCUAUUGCGAAGGCAGCUUACUACGCAUAUAUUGACGCUGAGGCACGAAAGCGUGGGGAGUCAAACAGG